rnacentral:sRNA from 1 species
GCUGGGCAUGGUGGCACACGCCUAUAAUCUCAGUGGCUUGAGAAGCUGAGGCAGGAGGAUCAUGAGUUCAAAGCCAGCCUCAGCAACUUAGUGAGGCCCUAAACAACUCAGUGAGACCCUGUCUCUA